GAAAUAUUUUAAAAAUAAAGCUUCUAACUUUAUAUAGGAUAUAAAAAUCCAUAUUUCU
rnacentral:tRNA from 1 species